rnacentral:rRNA from 1 species
GACGAACGCUGGCGGCGUGCUUAACACAUGCAAGUCGAACGGAAAGGCCCUGCUUUUGUUGGGUGCUCGAGUGGCGAACGGGUGAGUAACACGUGAGUAACCUGCCCUUGACUUUGGGAUAACUUCAGGAAACUGGGGCUCAUACCGGAUAUGAGCUCCUGCUGCAUGGUGGGGGUUGGAAAGUUUCGGCGGUUGGGGAUGGACUCGCGGCUUAUCAGCUUGUUGGUGGGGUAGUGGCUUACCAAGGCUUUGACGGGUAGCCGGCCUGAGAGGGUGACCGGCGACAUUGGGACUGAGAUACGGACCAGAAUGCUACGGGAGGCAGCAGUGGGGAAUAUGGCACAAUGGGCGGAAGCCUGAUGCAGCAAUGCCGCGUGCGGGAUGACGGCCUACGGGUGGUAAACCGAUGUCGCCUGUGACGAAGCGUGAGUGACGGUAAUGGGUAAAGAAGCACCGGCUAACUACGUG